GACGGGGUCAAUGUGGCGGCUCAAGCGGCUGGGGGCGGCGCGGCAGCUCGAUGUAGAUCGGCGGCGGCGGUUGGAGCUUGCAGGGGGCGGAUCCGUGCGCGGCAGGGGCCGGGGAGGCGGAUCCGGAGGCCGGCGGCGAGGUGGGGUCACGAGUGACGACGAGGAUGGCCGGAGCGCGGAUUCCCUGGCGGAUCCAUGGAGUCUGCAGCUCCUGGGCAGGAAAGGAAAUGAGGGAGAGAAGGAGGGAGCAAGGAGGGGCGGCGCAGCGACCUAGGCAGGAGCUUGCCGGAGCCGAGCGAUGGUGGACGGGCACGGGAGACGGAGGGAUCCGGCGCGGCGGCGCGAAGUCCUUGCAGGUGGCGCACCUCGGCCGUCAUCGAGGCCACCGCCGCCUCCUGCCGGUGCAACGAGGCAGAGGAGGAUCUCCUGGUUUUGCUCCGUCUCCAACUCCAAGUUCACGGUCGUGGUUCUAAUCCCUCUCUUGCCACUCCACUGUUUUCAGGGGACCUUCCACUGUUUUGAUUUAUUGUAUACGUGCAGUUCAUCUCCCAGUCGCUGGCUGGAUGUGCCUAUAUCUCUCAUCGUUUUGUCAAUCAGAUAACCUAUCAGUAGGUAAUUAUUUUCCUCCACUUUGCAAGACCACAUAACCAAUUUACUAUCAGCAGUCUAUACGAUUAAUAUCUAACUUUGCGGGAUCAUUCUGACUCGGCAUCUGUCACACUCUAACAAGUGUUCGUCUUUAAUUUCCUACACUAUAUUGUGCAACAAAAUUUGCUCUGUGUGCAUGAGUACUAAUAAUUUGGGUUAUUUCGUUUUGUUGAAAUGAUGAUAAAAUUGAGUUAAGCGAGUUGGAGCUACUGCACCCCUAGCCCGAGUGGAAUGAGCUCAUGGAGCGCCUCGAAGGCCCCGACAACGGUGGCAGUAGGCGUUGCCAUUAGAUCUGGAGGUAGAGGGAGUCGCCACGAGGAGUGGCAACCGAAGACAGGCAGCAUCGACUGUGUCAAGCAAGCUGUAGCAGGCCUGCGCGACUCCUUGCCGAUCACUUGACAGUCUAAGCCUGCAAUAGUGUCGAUUCAGGUAAGUGUGUGGCAUGGCGAAUCCUGCCCGAUCAGGGCCAACCAAUGGACAUGUUGUAUGCAUCAAUCUCCCAAUCCAACAGGCAAUACAUGUCUGCAAACGGUCCUGAAAAAAGUCAUUCGAUAAGAAAAGUAAGUGCUUAGUUGUGCUCAAUUUUCUCCUAAAAGAAACAGUUAACUUGUAUAGCUUGCAUCAAUGACUUCAUAGUCCAUACAAUAUUUUAUAUGCAUCAAAACUAAGUUUUGUAUGCUGCAGAAACUCAGGAAAAUAUGGUGGUUCUACGUCACUAGGCAAAUCAGAGGAGACAACCCAAUCUAUAAUGACAGGUGGUGGUACACACCUGAAUAGUAGUGAUGCAUUCUCUUCCGACAGGCUCCAAAUGAUGGUUAUUCUGCAGGAUUGGGAGAUGGAAGUAAUGUCCUUGUCCGUGCCGUUUGCUUUUGUGGGAAGAAAAAACUGUUGAGGUAAAGGAGGCUCAUAGCUUGAAGGCGUUUGGUCCAUUGAUGUAGUAACUAACAACUUCGUUUGGCUGCUAAUUGCUUUGCCUGACUUCCGUACUAAUGCCUACAUCAACCACCUGGGAAGAAGUUCUAGGUACAUCUAUUGCAUCGGUCGGUAUAUCUUCCUUUAUCUAUAACUCGAUAUAUAUAUUAGGCUGACAAGUAGGCUGUUACAGUACAGGUGGACCAUUUUUAGACAUGUCAUAUUCUUUGUCUGGAUAACAAAAUUAUUUUCACAUGGAAACCUCACACAAAAUCGCUGUGUAAAUCAUUGUUGGAUGUUCCAUUCUUUGAUUAUUUUGUUACAUUCAAACUAAGAAUAAUGCAAGAAAAAAAACCUUCAUUGUGCUAGAGAGGUGUUGGAGGCUCAGAGUUGCAUAUUCUGAUGAUAUAACUGUCAAUUACAAAAUAAGACCAAACAUUGUUUCUACGAAUUAGCAUCAAGUUGCCAGGAGCAGUGAAGCGCCAAUAAUGGUCAACUAUGGUGCUUGAGGAGAUGGAUAUAUGUAGUUGUAAGGUUGCAGAUAUACGGCUGGAGCAUUAUGUAAGUACUAUUACAGAAUUACUUCAGCUUAUGCUGAGUGUUUCAUUAGCUAGAUGGUUGUGCUUCAUGUCCUAGGAUCGCAUGCCCUUUAUGUUCAGAGUACGGUCUGAUUAUGAAUAAGAUAAUAAAAAGGUUCGUUUCUUCUAACUAGACAUUUUGUUAAUUUCCAGUUGAAGGCUUCCACGUGCCACCUCCUCCCCCUCCUUCGCCGUGUCGAGAAGAGAGCAGUGACGAAGCAGAGGUAGACGUGUACACGUGGUAGGAGCCAAGGGGGCAACGGGGAAAGGCGGACGCGAGAUCCGUGAAGCCAGAGAAGGUAUGUGAGCUCGUCCACCGCAUGCUACAGCUCCAAAAUCGGCGGUGUCAGCUGCCACCAGUACCACCGUGUCCGCCUCCGGCUGGCCUGGUAGCAAGAAAAUUAUGGCUGCAGGUGUGGUUCAUUCAGUUUUGCAGUUCGAUUUACUUGCUUGUGCAUAUGUGCGUGUAUACUGAGAGAGAGGGAGAGAUUAUUCUGUUCUAGCAGUCAUAUUUCUGUCACAAAUCUGCUCCCCUCCACUCCUGAAUGUGAAAAGCAGUUGCAAAUUGAGAGCAGCAGAGUAAAUGUUCAAAAGUUCAGAGCAGGUGCAUGUUUUUGAGAUUUAGAGGACGUGUAAGCUAGAAGAUGGGUUGCCAUGCUUUGUAAGUAUGAUUAGUUGGAGUACUAUUCCAUCCGAUGGCAGUGCAAAGUUGAAGUAGGCACUGACGAAGGACGUUAGGGUAUGUUCUUCACGCCCACACUUCAUUGUCCAAAAAGCGACAAAUCCUUUUUUCUUUGCGAAAAGGCCUAAGGCCAAAUAUUAAGGGACACGUGUCCAUACAAACUCACCCGUACGGAAACAUUCAAAUCUCCG